ensembl:snRNA U6 U6 spliceosomal RNA
GUGCUCACUUUGGUAGCACAUAUAUUAAAAUUGGAACCAUACAGAGAAGGUUAGUAUGCCUCUGUUCA